UACGUAGGGAGCAAGCGUUGUCCGGAAUUACUGGGCGUAAAGGGUGCGUAGGUGGCCAUGUAAGUUAGGUGUGAAAGACCGGGGCUUAACCCCGGGGCGGCACUUAAAACUGUGUGGCUUGAGUACAGGAGAGGGAAGUGGAAUUCCUAGUGUAGCGGUGAAAUGCGUAGAUAUUAGGAGGAACACCAGUGGCGAAGGCGACUUUCUGGACUGUAACUGACACUGAGGCACGAAAGCGUGGGGAGCAAACAGG
rnacentral:rRNA from 1 species